rnacentral:rRNA from 1 species
GACGAACGCUGGCGGCGUGCUUAACACAUGCAAGUCGAACGGAGUGGCGAACGGGUGAGUAACACGUGGGUGAACUGCCCUGCAAUUCGGGCUAAGCCUGGGAAACUGGGUCUAAUACCGGAUAGUGUGGGAUGGGCCCGGGGCCUAUCAGCUUGUUGGUGGGGUAAUGGCCUACCAAGGCGGAGACGGGUAGCCGGCCUGGGAGGGUGGACGGGCACAAUAGGACUGCGGCAGGGCCCAGACUCCUACGGGAGGCAGCAGUGGGAAGUAUUGCACAGUGGGGGGAAGCCUGAUGCAGCGGCGCCGCGUGGGGGAUGACGGCCUUCUGGUUGUAAACUCCGUUCACCGUCGACGCGGUAGAUGGAGAAGAAGCACCGGCUAACUACGUGCCAGCAGCCGCGGUAAUAC